ACUGCGGCCCAGGCAGUAAAAGCCUUCUGCUUUCAGUCAAGCACCAAGUUUGUCCACAACUUUAAAUCACUGACUGUGUUGUGCUUACUUGGUUGUAUCCGCCUACAAAGGUCAGUUACAACCGGGUCUACGUAAAACUGCCUUCUGGGCUGUUUAAUGCAACUUGUUCCUGCUUUUUUGCUUCGCCUGACUUUGUUGUUGACAUUGAACGGCAGAACCGGUGCUGCGCAGCUCUUGGGAAGAGAACCCUUUCCGACACAGAGGAGAGGCGGUACAUAAAACCCCACACGGUUUGUCUCCGUGUGGUCAGUGAUGGACUAUUUAACACCUUCUGUCCUUUAGUACUGUGUUAAUAUUUAACCUCCUUGUGAAAUCUGAUGGACGGAGCUCCUCUCACUCACAGCGCGUGGACUUACUCCAGAAAACAAUGACGCCUCGGCUCCUUUAAGGCGGAAUCGGCUCAGAGGGGAAUUUGUGAAACUGGCCUCACGUCGCUCUUUGGUGCUGUAGAAAUGUCUAUUUCUGCUCCUCCUCACUGGAAAUGUCUGCUACAGCACUUCAAAGUCGCUCUCUACUGGAGAUGUUUCCUGUUUUUCUGCUACUUUCUCCCGGAAGUUUGAACUGUACUGUUGCACGUCUUCCCGAACCAGUCAUGAAAUGGACGGAGACUGCGGUCCUACGCCGGUAGAUGGUGAAGCUUAAUACACUAAUAACUAUUGGCUUUAAUGUUGUUAUGAUUUUAUGAAGCGUUUAAAACCACAGUGUCUAAAUCUGUAGUCGUGACAGUAAAGUCGCUAUGAGCCUCUAGAUAAGCAGCGAUACACGUGAUACACGUGUCCUGCGAGUAGAGUGUUGUACAUAGACUGAUGGUUAAAGGAGCAAUACUGACAGCAAGCGCCUCAACUGGACACUGCAGUCCAAAUCCAGAACAUUGGACAGUAUAUCGGAGAGUUCUCACCCCUCCUCACCAGACUUGAAGCUCACGCAAAUGGCCGGGUUGAGGACAAGUCUUGAGAAACAGUAACAAGGAAAGUGGGUUUUUAGGCUUUGCACUGAGAAUGCAAGCACUCCUUGUAUUCCAUGUCCUGAAUCAGCUUCCACUGAUGAGCCUCUGCAUACUGCUUUAGCUGUACAGCAUGUGAGCCUGGUCAGAGAUUAAGAGUAAAGACUGCCUAUCAGUCAUCUGAUACAGACUGUGAGCCACUAGAGAGGCAUUCCUGUACUGAUCAAGACAGCUGUAGAUCUUAUACAUACCUGUGAAUCACACAAAAUGCAGCCCAGGACAAUCUACAAAGAGCUCCAGGAUAUGCUCCCUGAACUGCCUGCACGUACGAUAUCUUCUGCUGAAUAUGAGGUGCCUGUGGAAAUGCUCAAUUCUACAAAAGGCUUCUGACCCUCAGCAGUAUGGACUGAACUGUUCUUCUCACCGUGGAGAAACUGGACUGUUGGCCUGAGUCCACAGGAAGUGAAUCAUGUUAUGAUAAAUUCCACUUAAUACUGCCUUGUACUUUUGUAUCAUCACUGGUUUACUGAUUGUGUUGUGCUUUCUUGAUGGUAUCCCCCUAUAAAGGUCAGUAAAGGUUAGAUCCACUCUAAAGUCAGUCUGGACACUAUUUAAUA